AAGGCAGGCAGGAAGCCCUUCGGCUUGGCAAUGCGUGCGAGCCGAGAGAGCGCAAAAGCAAACUGAAACCCCACUCCUUUUCUGAUAACGGAGAGGAAGAGAGACAGAGAGAAGAAGCAGACUGGAAUUCCAACCCUCCGUGUAUUUAUGAUAGUUUAAAGGUCUCUUUUGAAAAUGUAUGACCGUUUGGAUCCUCGGCGCGAGCCUAGACGUGUUUCUAAAGGCAUCAUAGGUAGCGUCGUCUGACCAAGGAGGGCUCGGGCGCUUUCCGUUCCUAUCCUUCGCUUCCCCCCUCUUGGUGAGGGGAUAUAUUGGAACAAGGUUUUGGGGCUUUUUGCAUUUGAAUCCUACUGCGCAACCAGACGGAUCACGUGGGAUGUGGAGUUGAUCGAUUUGCGCCGUUAAAUGUAUAAAGAGGAAAUAGGGAAAAGGUCUGUUAAAAAAGCAUAACCGCUUUCUUCCGGAUUACAGGGGACUCUACUUUUACAGAGGGAAAUACGUCGGUGGGCUCGGGGAACCGGAGUGAUUUUUAUGCCUGUUUAAAAUGGAGACGCACAUAUCGUGCCUCUUUCCGGAAAUUUUAGCCAUGAUUUUCAGCUACUUGGAUGUAAGGGACAAAGGCAGGGUGGCCCAAGUGUGCGCUGCUUGGAGGGACGCUUCCUACCACAAGUCGGUGUGGAGGGGGUGGAAGCCAAGCUGCAUCUGCGGCGGGCCAAUCCUUCUCUCUUCCCCAGCCUACAGGCCCGCGGAAUCCGGAGGGUACAGAUUCUCAGCCUGCGGCGGAGCCUCAGCUACGUGAUCCAGGGGAUGCCAAACAUCGAGAGUCUGAACCUGAGUGGCUGCUAUAACUUAACGGAUAACGGCCUGGGGCACGCGUUUGUCCAGGAAAUCCCUUCCCUUCGGGUUCUAAACCUUAGUCUGUGUAAGCAGAUCACGGACUCCAGCCUGGGCCGGAUCGCCCAGUAUCUGAAGAACCUGGAGGUUCUGGAACUGGGCGGGUGUAGUAACAUCACCAACACGGGGCUGUUACUCAUAGCGUGGGGUUUACACCGGCUCAAGAGCCUCAACCUCCGCAGCUGCCGGCAUGUGUCUGACGUGGGCAUCGGGCACCUGGCGGGCAUGACCCGCAGCGCAGCGGAGGGCUGUCUCAACCUGGAAUACCUGACGCUGCAGGACUGUCAAAAACUUACGGAUCUGUCCCUCAAGCACAUCUCGAAGGGCCUGGCUAAGCUCAGAGUUCUCAACCUGAGUUUCUGUGGCGGGAUCUCUGACGCAGGUAUGAUCCACCUCUCUCACAUGACCAGCCUCUGGAGCCUUAACCUGCGCUCUUGCGACAACAUCAGUGACACGGGCAUCAUGCACCUGGCCAUGGGCACGCUGCGGCUCUCCGGGCUGGACAUGUCCUUCUGUGACAAGAUAGGGGACCAGAGUCUGGCUUACAUCGCCCAGGGCCUGUACCAGCUCAAAUCCCUGUCCCUGUGCUCGUGCCACAUUAGUGACGAUGGCAUCAACAGGAUGGUGCGCCAGAUGCAUGAGCUGAGAACCCUGAACAUUGGACAGUGUGUGCGGAUUACAGACAAAGGACUGGAGCUCAUUGCCGACCACUUGACUCAGUUGACGGGGAUCGAUCUGUAUGGAUGUACUAAAAUCACGAAACGGGGACUGGAAAGGAUAACGCAGCUCCCAUGCCUUAAAGUUUUGAAUCUGGGACUUUGGCAGAUGACAGAGAGUGAAAAAGUGAGGUGAAACUAACUUGGCGAGGAUUAGUUGGGGAGGGGGACACAUAGAGAGGAGAAGUGGUAACGGCGCAGGAGACCAGUGGGCGGGGAAAUGUUCCUUCUAAAAUAUAUAUAUAUCCUCUGCUCUCAAUCUCGUCGUAGUUGGAUAUUUUCUCAUUCAAUGUAACCUAACUUAAUGCUACAAAACUGUGAUCAAAAAAUAUGUUGCGCAAUUUUAGGCCAAAUGAAAACAGGAUUAAUCAUCAUCAAAUGCAUGUUUUCAUUAUUAACAACACAAUACCCCGCCCCCGCAUUAUGAAGACAAACUACUUUUUAUUAUUCCUAAAGAGUCGCAAUAUUUAACUUCAAACUGUCCAACUAUCGCGCCUAAUACAUUUGGCUACCUCGUUUAUCAAUGUGUUGUAAUAAAUCCGUGUAUUGUUAAAAAGAAAGAGAGGAGAGAAAUUGUGCCUAUAGACAGUAGCAGUCCCCUCCCCCAACGCGUCUCGCGCUUGGAGAAUCCUCGCAGCAAAAAGAAACGCUCUCUAACUACCUUUGUGUUCAUUUGCCCAGAAACGCUUAACAAUGAAGAAGAGAAACGAACAGAGUUUCGUUUAAAAGGACUGUUCACACUCAGACAAAAAAUAGCGACUUUAUGCAAAUUAAAACGGAUUAAAUACUGGUUUGUAUCCAAAAUCAUUUUAUUUUUGUUUUGUUUACUUUUUAACCCAACUUAAAGGCCUUGUAGCCUUGGAUUCAAGCUUUGAAUAAUGGGACCCUUCCUUCCCUAUAUUAUUUUGGUGUGUUUAUGCUUAUGGAAGCAGAUAUUGUCGAAUUAUUGCUGUUAUUCAGAGCGUUGUACUUCAAAUUGAAGUGAUUUCUAUAAUAGAAAUGCUGCCCCUUUUCUCAAUCAGGUGUUUUCCAACUAAUCCUCCAUAUCCUCGAGAAUAUGGGUCGCUACCUAUUAAACACAAUCAUACACACUAGUCCACAAUAACAACGGAAGAGACACUCCUUUGGAAUAGAAUCUAAAUAAAUGCUUUAGAAUGAACAAGCAAUCGAUCGUUAUUUUCUCGGCUUCCAAGUGACUGCGUGUCAGGUCUACAUGGGACCUAUGGAAUCAGAACAUGACGUUAUGAGCGAACAGAACUGCAACAUGUAUUGAGUCCUGCUGAGAGACUACUGUGUUUUAAUGUACUGUAUAUGUGUUUGUAAAAAAACAGAAUCCAAAAUUAAAUUGUUUUAUAUUCUUACAGUAAACAUUAAAGUUGAUAUUUAUAUAAUAAAUGAAAAGGUCAUGUGGA